AUUGAACGCUGGCGGCAGGCCUAACACAUGCAAGUCGAACGAGUGGCGGACGGGUGAGUAAUGUCUGGGAAACUGCCUGAUGGAGGGGGAUAACUACUGGAAACGGUAGCUAAUACCGCAUACCAUCAGAUGUGCCCAGAUGGGAUUAGCUGGUUGGUGGGGUAACGUCUCCCCAAGGCGACGAUCCCUAGCUGGUCUGAGAGGAUGACCAGCCACACGGGAACUGAGACACGGUCCAGACUCCUACGGUAGGAAGCAGUGGGGAAUAUGGCACAAUGGGCGCAAGCCUGAUGCAGCCAUGCCGCGUGUAUGAAGAAGGCCUUCGGGUUGGAAAGUACUUUCAGCGGGGAGGCGGUACCCGCAGAAGAAGCAUCGGCUAACUCCGUGCCAGCCGCCGCGGUAAUUC
rnacentral:rRNA from 1 species